rnacentral:tRNA from 1 species
GCGGAUGUGGCGAAGUUGGUUGAAACGCACUGGACUUAAAAUCCAGUACCCAAGUGGUAAACAUCGUGGGCUCGAAUCCCACCGUCCGCACCA